GACAGAGGGUGCAAACGUUGUUCGGAAUUACUGGGCGUAAAGCGCGUGUAGGCGGCCAACUAAGUCGGGCGUGAAAUCCCACGGCUCAACCGUGGAAGUGCACUCGAAACUGGAUGGCUAGAGUCCUGGAGAGGAAGGUGGAAUGCUUGGUGUAGAGGUGAAAUUCGUAGAUAUCAAGCGGAACACCGGUGGCGAAGGCGGCCUUCUGGACAGUGACUGACGCUGAGACGCGAAAAGCGUGGGGAGCAAACAGGG
rnacentral:rRNA from 1 species